UCAAAAGCCAAGCUUUUUAACUGUCAAACCUAAUACUCCUUAUGGUUCAGCCUCUAGUGAUUCAGCGGCAAUGCAAAGCUAGCUCCCCAAACCAGUAUCUUCUCACUUCCCACACCCAUAUGAUUUAUCUUCAGCAUCCAGACAUUCUUGUCUCAAUAGGAUGUUUCCUUAUUGUCUCUCACAAGCUUAUGUACACUUGGCACCCAGGUUAGUGGUGCCAUUUGAGAAGGUUAUAGAACAGUGGUUCUAUAUACUGGGACUCUUCAAUACUGUUCUUCAUAUUGUGGUAACCUCCAGUCAUAAAAUUACUUAUUACUACUUCAUAAUUUCUUCAUAAUUUUGUUACUGUUACAUUACUGAAUCAUAAUAUAAAAAUAGAUACUUUCCAGUGUUCUUUUGGGGGUUACAACUCAGAGGUUGAGAAACAUUGUUCUAGAACCUUAAGGAAAUGCAAUCUCGCUAGAGGAAGCAUGUCACUAGCGGUGAGCUUUAAGAGUUUGUAGCCUCACCCCACUUCUAGUUCACUUUCUCUGUUCUCUCUGCGUGGUCAAAGAUAUGAUCUCAGAGCUGCCUGCUACCAUGGCUCCCCAAACACUACCGUCUUUCCCUCUGGAAAUGCAAGCCAAGAUAAACUCUGCCAGAAGGCACUUUGGUCAUGGUGUUGCAUUACAGCAAUAGUAAAGUAGCUAAUAGUUAUCAUUUCUAGAGUUGCUAGGGUCACCCAAUGAUUUCCAGACAUCCCUCUCCCCAGCAACUCCCAAACUUCAUGUUCAUUUCCAUGUUAUUUGCUCACUCACAUUUUUCCUCAGUUGUCUAUCUGUCUGUUUGACUGUCUGUCUGACACACACACACACACACACACACACACACACACACACACACACACAAAACUAAUGGCUGUUAUGUGCAUAUAUUAAUUUGACAGGGUGUUUCUAACAAACCCUCACAGAUUGUGAGGCUAAUGGUCACAGAAAUGUCUUAGUUGACAGUUUCAAAGGCUAAAAGUCUAAGCUGAAGUAUCAGCAAGCUUUGGAGGGCCUCUCCCCUUGGCUCUUGUAUGGCCAUUGUAUUGGUUAGCUUUUGUGAACUUGAUAGAAAACAGAGUCAUCUGAGAAGAGAGCAGCUUCUCUGAUAGAACACGCUACUUACGUUGGCUUGUGGGCCUUAUGUUUGGUAUUGUCUUGGUUGAUGGGUGAUGUGGUGUGAGUUGUGUCCUGGGUGCUGUCAGAAAGCUCUAGAGCCCCAGAGCAAGACAGUAAAGAAUGUUCUCCAUGGUUUCUGGUCCAGUUCCUGGCUCCAUGUUCAAUUCCUACCUUGACUUUCUGCCCUGAUUCUCCUUUAUGAUAGAAUAAAUGCUUUCCUCCCCAAGUUUCUAUUGGCCAUGGUGUCUUAUCCCAGCAAUAAAAACCAAACUAAGAUAGCUAUCUUUCAUGUCUGCAUAGUGUCAUUUCUUUGUGUAUAUCCUAAUAUCUUUCUUUAAACUUUGUAGUCUCUUAAAGAUCUGCUUUAAUUACCUCUUUAAAGGUGUAAUCUCUAAAGUCCCACACCAAGACAUUCGGUAUUGGAACUUCAUCAUAUGAAUUUCAGCCACUUGACGUUUCCACGUG
rnacentral:lncRNA from 1 species